rnacentral:rRNA from 1 species
UCGGGAAUCUUGCACAAUGGGCGAAAGCCUGAUCCAGCCAUGCCGCGUGAGUGAUGAAGGCCUUAGGGUUGUAAAGCUCUUUCGCCGGUGAAGAUAAUGACGGUAACCGGUAAAGAAGCCCCGGCUAACUUCGUGCCAGCAGCCGCGGUAAUACGAAGGGGGCUAGCGUUGUUCGGAAUUACUGGGCGUAAAGCGCGCGUAGGCGGGUCAUUAAGUCAGGGGUGAAAUCCCGGGACUCAACCUCGGAAUUGCCUCUGAUACUGGUGGCCUUGAGUCCGUGAGAGGUGAGUGGAACUCCGAGUGUAGAGGUGAAAUUCGUAGAUAUUCGGAAGAACACCAGUGGCGAAGGCGGCUCACUGGCACGGUACUGACGCUGAGGUGCGAAAGCGUGGGGAGCAAACAGGAUUAGAUACCCGCGUAGUUC